rnacentral:misc_RNA from 1 species
GCAUAAGGCCAGUAAAAAGAAGAGUAAGAAAAUUGGUUCUCCUAUUCAUUUGAAGAAUGUAGGCCCAACUAUCCUGUUCAUCCUUCGGACCGUGACAUUGUCCGCAUCAAUUGCAGUCAUCACACCACAGGUACUAGAAAAGGCAUAGAUUCAAUUUUGUUUGAUGAUGCGGAGGAAGCAAUCCAAACAAUUAAGCUUGGUAAGGAUUUGGGCCUCACUUUUUUGGCGCCAGAUGAGGAGAUUCUAGAUUUCAUGUCAACCAUAUUAGUUCUCAUUUAGCCCUACGGAUGAAAGGAAAAUAGUCUCUGCUGAUUUUACACUCUUGGGUUGGUUUAAUUUUUUAAGGAUUGAUUUGUGGUUUUCAGCUCUUUCGUUGUUUUGGAGUUUUCGGCUUGAGUGGUUCUUUAAAAUUCUGUGCAGUUCAACUCUUUUCUUGAUUUGUGUUUUUUGAGUUUUUUGUUGUGAUGGUCUUCGAGUGGGGAUGCUAUCUUGAUUUCUUCCUACUAUGACUCUAAAUUGGUUCCAAAUCGUUUUUGGCACUGACAUCUCUUUUGCAUUUGUGCUUUGAAUGGCCUCUGUCAGAUAUUGGAAGAGGUCUUUGUUAGUCGUCUAAACGAUGCCUAAUCGAAAACUUUAUUGACUCAGUUCACAUCUCUUCCUGUGGAAUCUCUGAAGCGUAGGUGGUGCAAAGUAUAGGAAAUGUAUUUUUUUUGGCAAUUCAGGUGGCUUGCAUGCUUGUUGGCAUUACAUAACUUUCGAAUUGAUCAUCUCCUCUUACUCCCAAAUUCAAUUAAAGGGAAGGAAGAAGUGUUCACAAAGCGUUUCAAGAAGUUUAAGGAAGAAGUAAGGAUGAUUCUCUUCAAUUAAUGUUGAUGAAGGGGUCCAAUUGCGUAAGCAAGAGUGGAUUUUGUUUCCUUGGGGAAUUAUUUCAGUCAAAGAUGGCAGCAGGUACUUAGGUGUCAAAAUGGGAAGAGGUUGAAUUUUUUUAGUUGGAUUUUCUACUGCACUGGAAGGUCUUGGGCCUUAAUUUCCUCUAUUUUCCCUUCUUUUAUGCUUCUCUGUUUUUGAUUUGGAGGCAGCUAUCCCUUGGCAAGAUGCAUGGGGUUUAUAAGGCAAUUU